rnacentral:lncRNA from 1 species
AAAGGACUGGCCAAUGUCAACAUCAGGAGCUUCAUCUGCAAUGUAGGGGCUGGUGGACCUGCUCCAACAGUUGGUGCUGCACCUGCAGAAGGUCCUGCCCCCACCACCACUGCUGCCCCAGCUGAGGAAAAGAAAGUGGAAACAAAGAAAGAAGAACCUGAGGAGUAUGAUGAUGACAUGGACUUUGGUCUUUUUGACUAA